rnacentral:tRNA from 1 species
GCCUUGGUUGGGAUUUGGAGCCGUAUCCUAUACAGCCUUGGUAAGGCAAAGGUCCCGGGUCCAAAUCCCGGCCAAGGCU